rnacentral:rRNA from 1 species
GACGAACGCUGGCGGCGUGCCUAAUACAUGCAAGUUGAGCGCUGAAGGUUGGUACUUGUACCGACUGGAUGAGCAGCGAACGGGUGAGUAACGCGUGGGGAAUCUGCCUUUGAGCGGGGGACAACAUUUGGAAACGAAUGCUAAUACCGCAUAAAAACUUUAAACACAAGUUUUAAGUUUGAAAGAUGCAAUUGCAUCACUCAAAGAUGAUCCCGCGUUGUAUUAGCUAGUUGGUGAGGUAAAGGCUCACCAAGGCGACGAUACAUAGCCGGUCGGAGGGGAUGAGGAGCCACACGGGAACUGAGACACGCCCCAGACUCCUACGGGAGGCAGCAGUGGGGAAUAUUGGACAAUGGGCGCAAGCCUGAGCAAGACAUACCGCGUGGGUAAAGAGGUUUUUGGGGUUGAAAAGCCUUUUUGUUGGGAAAGAAAAGGAGGAGGUUAAAACCCCGCUGAUCUGACGGUACCCAAAGAAAAAGCACCGGCUAACUUCGUG